rnacentral:rRNA from 1 species
GAGUUUGAUCAUGGCUCAGAGCGAACGCUGGCGGCAGGCCUAAUACAUGCAAGUCGAGCGCCCCUUCGGGGGAGCGGCGGACGGGUGAGUAACGCGUGGGAACGUGCCCUUUGGUACGGAACAACUGAGGGAAACUUCAGCUAAUACCGUAUGUGCCCUAUGGGGGAAAGAUUUAUCGCCAUUGGAGCGGCCCGCGUUAGAUUAGCUAGUUGGUAGGGUAAUGGCCUACCAAGGCGACGAUCUAUAGCUGGUCUGAGAGGAUGAUCAGCCACACUGGGGACUGAGACACGGCCCAGACUCCUACGGGGAGGCAGCAGUAGGGAAUCUUGCGCAAUGGGCGAAAGCCUGACGCAGCCAUGCCGCGUGAAUGAUGAAGGUCUUAGGAUUGUAAAAUUCUUUCACCGGGGACGAUAAUGACGGUACCCGGAGAAGAAGCCCCGGCUAACUUCGUGCCAGCAGCCGCGGUAAUACGGAGGGGGCUAGCGUUGCUCGGAAUUACUGGGCGUAAAGGGCGCGUAGGCGGACAGUUUAGUCAGAGGUGAAAGCCCAGGGCUCAACCUUGGAAUUGCCUUUGAUACUGGCUGUCUUGAGUACCGGAGAGUGAGUGG